AAGAGGCGUACACAUGGCCAGGAGUAAUUUGAGUUACCAGAGGAAGCAUGGACCUGUAACUGACAGAGUGAGGAUUGUGCUCCAGAAGUAAAACAUAGUUUCAAAGCAACAGACAGGGAUUCAUAAGGGGCAGAAAAACAGCUCUCCAAAGAUGUCUACAUGAAAAUCCUGACUCUGCGAAUGUAUUACUUUACACAGCAAAAGGAAUUUGGCAGCUGUGAUUUAAUCGAAGAUCAUGAGAUGGAAAGAUUAUUAUCUGUGUGCAUCUAACAUAAUCACAAAGGUCCUUUUAAUGUGAAAGAGGAAGACAGGAGAGUCAGAGGGUCAGAGAAGAUGUGAAUACAGAAGCAGAGGUCACAACGACGUGAGAAAGGCACAUCUGGCUUUGAAGAUAGAGGGGCGAUGUGCCGAGGAAUGCAGGAAGCCUAAAAAGCUGAAAUAAGCAAGAAGUGGAUUCUUUCCUGCUGCUGCCAGAAGGGACAUACCCCUGCAGACACCUUGAUUUUUGCCCCAUAAUACUCUUUUUAGAUUUCUGACUCAUAGAAAUAUAAGAUAAUAAAUUUGCUUUGUUGUAAGCCACUAAGUUAGUGGUAAACGGUAAGUUUGUAAAGCAAUAAGAAAUGAACAGACAUUUAAGAAUAUUAUUUUAAGUCUAUGCUUAGACUUUUCCCAAGAAUAUUUAUGCAAUGGGAUUAUAUUCUAGUUUUAUAACUGAGUUAAUUUAUAUAGCAAUAUAUCAUAAAUGUCUCUUCAAAUUAAUACAUGCACAUCUAUGGUAAUAACUAUGAAUUACUAUGUAGUAUAUUUUAUGUAUAUAUUAUAGUUAUUAAUCAAUCUGAAAUUGUGAGGCCUUUAGUUUUCUUCUUAUAUUUUUGCUAAUAUAUAGAGUGUUUGGGAAAAUAUUUUUAUAUAUGAAACUGUGUCAAUCUAUGGUUUUUUUACUUGUAUUUUCAAAUCUAAUAUUAUUAUUUAGUAUAACAUAAAUUAUUUUGAUGGGAAACUCAUAUUUUCAAUGUUUUAGGUAUAUAACUAGUUUGCCUUCCAAAAAAGGCAAAUUAAUUGCACCAAUUAUUAAUUAGCCCCAUCAGUUUAUAAGAUAGGUGGGAGAAGGGUCUGCCAUUUUUAGUUAUAAUCUAAAACCCCCAAAAAACAGAACAGUAGUUUUUUUCUGAAAAUCAGAUUUCUCACAGAAUGAAAUAAAUUAAAAACUCAUACUUGUUAUAUUCCCUUAAAACAAUAGAAGAAUGAUGUAGAUGGAGUAUAUGUCCUUAUCAUGCAACUCAGAUUAUAUACCUAAAAAUAUGCAACUCAUAGUUAUUUGAAAAAUUAAUAUAGAAACCUAGAUUGAAACCUUUAAAAAGUUGCCAAAAAUCACCAUUUAAAAUUAGUUGAUUUAUUAAAAUUUUGAACAGGAAGUUUAUUCAAUGUAUUUAAGACAAAAAUUAAUGUUGGUAGAUAUUACAUAAAACCUAGAAAUCUAUUUCCCCAUAUUAAAAACGAAUAAUGAAGUAAGAAAAGAGAGAGAGAAAUGACGGGAAAAAAUGAAUACACAAUAGAUAGUUCAAAUGAUUAAAUGGUAAGUGAAAAGGAUUUAAAAAAUAAAAAACAGUGAGGAAAAAUAUUAUCUCCAAUGGCUGUGUCUCAUAGCUUAUUAGUCUCUUAUCAAAUGCACUGUUUUAAAGAAAAUUAUUGCAGUAAUGCUAAUUUCUUUAUAUAUUUUGGACAUGAAAACCUGUAUUAGGAGGCAACAAAAUAAUUUGCACAGUAGUAUGAAUACUGUAUUUGAUAAACAAUAAUUUUUUAAGAUGGGUUUGUAGAGUACCACGGACUAUAUUUCAGAUUUCAAAAGUAGAAGAUAUGAGCAAUUUCUUCUAAUAAAUGUUUACAAAAUGAUCAGGUAAAUAAAUCACCUUUUACAAAUCUAUCAAAUUAAAAAAUUGAAAUCUGGAGAAGUUAGGAGGCUUGCCAAAUAGUUCAAAGAAAGUAUUUUUAUGAGACUCCAACACUAUUGACUUUCAGCUUAACACUUGUUUAUAUCAUGCACAAUAUCAAAUAUAGAGUAUAAGAAGGGAAUAUAAUACAGAAAGUAAUAUAAUCAUUUCAAAAAAAGUGAAGCUGAAUUUUUAAAAAAUAUAAUUCUCCUAUAAUUUUUUAGGUACUUGAAAAUUAUAUUGGCCUAUUUUAUUUAUUUUGUUAGAUAGUGAUGGUGCAAAUACUGGUCUUUAGAAACAGAACAAUGCUCCAAAAUUACCCUAUGCUGCAUAUUGCCAAUAAUAUAACUGUAAGAUAUGUAUUUAGUCUUAAACUAUCUUAUUUAUCACCAAAUACCUACAGCUAACAGCUGAAGGGAACGAUACAAUUCUGAAUAAGCAUGUAUAAAGAAUGCUUAGGGCUUAAGCACAAACUAAAUAAAGUUUAUCGCUUUUGUC